AGUAUAAUAUUAUUAUAAAUUAAUUUUAAUUAAAUUUUUAUUAUAAACAAAAUAAUGAUUUUUUUUGCUAAUUUUAUAAAUUUUAUAAGUAUAUUUUAUAUUAUAUUAAAAUAGAAGUAAUUAAUGAAUUACAUAUUAAAAUUAUGUUUUUUGCAAACAUAUUAAAAUUAUGUUGAAUUGGUAAAUCAAUAUAUUUUGAAAAAAAACUUUCAGUAAGAUAAAUAAAUAAAAUAUUAUUCAUCGUUUAAAGUGACUAAGAUAUCAUUCACUUUUUAAAAUGAUUAAUAUUCAUAUAUUAUGUAAUAAUUUUUACAAAAAAUAAAAUUGUUAACAUAUGUUAAAUUUUAAUUUAGGACUAUAUAUCAUCUAUUUAGUUAUUUUUAAAAUGACAGCAAUAUAUUAUCAUAAAUUAUUAUAUAUAAAAUAAUAUAAAAUUUUUUAUUUAUAAAUAAAAUGUUACUCUGCACGGGUGUGCGGGUUAAAAUCUAGUUUUAUCAUUAAUUCAAAUGCUGGAAAUAAAGCAGAGCAUUUUAUUUUUGAGAGAAUCAUGUGCCCAACCAAUGGACUGACUGACUGACUGAUUACGAUAAAGCUCUAGAUUUUCAUUCGUUAUGGGUUUCACUUGUACAUUAGAUUUUUUGCUUACCCGUUAAGGGACGCACAUAACCAAUCCAAUGAGAAUAAGGUAUAAAUUCAUUAUCUUAAAAGUAUCUUAUCUUUUGUUUUGUAUUAAUUAAUCAAUCCUGGCAUCUUCUUACACGUGAUUUGCUAGCUAAAUUUUGUUCCGUAAGCUUUUUCUUAUCUGAAGCUCUUUUAGAGCUUUUGCCCAAUUCCUUUAUAGCUUAAGCUUUCCAGAAAGAUUCCAUACAAAGUUUUUUUUAUAAAGAAAAACCCAAUGUGGCAAAAUGAAGUUAUAAUAAUAGUAACCAAAUUAAUAUGAGGAGUAUGCCAAGACACAUUACACACCUCUUUGGAAAGCUAAAUAAUAAAUGUUCCAAAAUUUAUUACUUGCAGAAUGUAAUAUCUAUGUGUGAAUAUCUUAUUUCUAAACAUUUUCAACUAUCCCACUAUAUAAAAGCAACUAAUUUCAAGCAUUCUUAGGCAUGCCACAUAUGAUAAAAUAUUUAGAACCAAUCAUUUAGUCAUGUCAUUAUGAAUUUCUUAAUGACAAAUUGCUGGGCCUCACAAAACCUUCACACCAAUUCAAUGUAUCAUUCCAGCCAAUAGCAUAUCAUAUUCCUCCUUCUUCGUUAACCCUAACCUCCACAAUUCUUAUAAGCUUAAAAUAGUUAAGGCAAAUUACACUACACCAUUAAAUAAUUCAUACCACCAUCUUUCAAAAUUCCGGCUAGAUAGAUACACUUUCUCCACUGUUCAGAGCCAUUAACACCUUAAUCAGAUCAAAAACCCCAACCUAACGACUCUCUUCAACUUCCCCAUCUCCAUCUAUAUAACCCUUUAGCCACUUACGAAGCUCAAGUAUUCUCCAAAGUUAUAUGAAAAUACCUACCGCAGCUAUGGCUGGACAAACUCCAACUCAACUGCACGAAAUCCAGUCGAGGCGUGUUGAAGAAGAGUUAGAGUUUGUAUUAUGAUCAGAGUACGCAAAUUUCUGUCUAGAUCGGCCAUUUAGAUCCCUGCAACUGAAUCGCCACUGCCGAAGAGACGACGUAGCAGAAGAUGAAAGAUGUUUUUUCGUUCGAGAACUUUCGUAUUGAAUCUCUUCAUAAACUCUUGGUAAGCUUAUGUUAAGUUUAAUGUUCUAAAUCUGAUCUGAUUUGAUUCGAUAUUAUACAUCGACGAAAUUAAGCUUUUAAAUUUAGUCAUGAUAAUUGAUACUGUUAUGAAAAAUUCCUUUGAGAUUAGGAAGCAUAAGUAUAUUGAAGCUCCAGACUGGUAAUGAUUUGUUUUUAAAAAAAAAUUAUUGCUCGAAUGUAUGGUUUGUCUAUGCUCUUUCUUGAUUAAUAGUGUUUGUAUGAUUUUUUGCAGAAAUGACAAAGCAAAUCUGCUCAAAUAUUAGCCACAGACCUGAAAGUUUUUGCGGCUUUCAACUAACUUUACAAAGAGAUCACUCAGCUUCUGACUCUAGAGAAUUUUAGAAGCUGAUCGAGGGAAAUCCUUUGUUUGAUGUGAAGCUUCCCUUUCCCAGUUUCAAGGCUUCCCAGCUCAGAACUUUGAUCAAUCAAAGGUUGUACAAAGUCUUGAACAUUCUUGAGUUCAAUAGCACGAGGCAAAAUAUGCCAAUAAUAGUGCAUGAUAAAGAUGGAAAACUCUGACUACUUUUUGAAAAACCAAAUAAGUAAGUGUAACUGGUGAUUUCAUAUAACAAAGUAUACAUAUCUUCCUUUUCAAAUUAUUUUAUGCCACUUCCUUUUCAAAAAAUUUGGAGAAUGCAUGCUUGAUCAUUAGUAUAUUAUAUACAUAUGGGAUUGGUCAUAUAAUACACUGAAAACGUAGCUCCAAUUGCUGAUUUUUCAUGGGAUGUUAACGCAACGAUAUUGCUAUCUUUAUUACAAACUCAUGUUGGAUGUGAUCUUGACUUCAGGAAUCUUUUAUUUUCCUAGAUUGAUAAUUCUAGAAGCAGAAGCAUGUAAUACAAAGUUUGGAUAUUUAUAGUUAAUUAACUAACUUGUCAUGAUCUGUGUUUGUACCAGGUCAAAGUUGGGUGCACAAGGCAGGAAGCAACUGUGCUUAAUAAUGAUUUACUAUACACAUGCUUUACUAUAUUUACUCUGAAAUUCUAUCUGAAUAAAAUAUUUUCAUAUCUUUUUUUUCAUUUUUUCAUUAAAACAUAUAUAUUUCAUUUUAUCAUUAAAAUAAAUAUUUGGAUAAUUAAGUAAUUUCAAAUUUAUUUAAAAUAAAUUUAUAUUUCAUUUUUAUUUUAAACAAAACUUUUAAAUAUUUAGUUAAUGUCGUAUUUAUUUUAAAAUUAAAUUUAUAUUUCAUUUUAACUAAAACAAAAUUUUA